GACAGAGGUGCCGAGCGUUAGGCGGAAUCACUGGGCUUAAAGCGUGUGUAGGCGGAUGCCUAAGUACCUUGUGAAAUCCCACGGCUUAACCGUGGAACUGCUUGGUAUACUGGGUGUCUUGAGCCACUUAGGGGCGACCGGAACAAACGGUGGAGCGGUGAAAUGCGUAGAUAUCGUUUGGAACGCCAAUGGUGAAAACAGGUCGCUGGGAGUGCGCUGACGCUGAGGCGCGAAAGCCAGGGGAGCGAACGGG
rnacentral:rRNA from 1 species